AUGUACAUCAGAAUAGAAUCAAAGGCUCUUGGUAUUCAGUAAAUACAUGUGAACUCAAACUUGCUGAUGGCCCAAUCUUCUUGUGGAUUUCAUCAUCUCAGUUAUUUUCCUCUUUUCACCACUAUUCAUUGAGGGUCAGCUAUGCAGAAGAUGCCAGACAGACAGGGUCCCUGCCUUGCUGGUCAUUGCUAGGGGGCUUCCUCACAGCUUAGACUCUUACCUCUGACUGGCUCCCUGAACUGUCAGGUUUGAGUCACCCCGGGAUUAAGAGAAAUCCUUGAAAGAAUAAAUCAGAGUUUGUAACCUUGGUGAACUUAAACAAAUUUGUGUAUUUAAGGUUGAUUUGGGUCAAGCCAAUCCCCUUCUCGGGAUGAAAAUCCAGGCCCCUUGGUAAAUCGGGAGCAAACACCUCUGCUGGUGGACUGGGUGACAGGAUUAUCCUAGGGUGUCUCAUAUGGAUGGUUUAGGGUUUGAAUGUCUUGUUAAACUGACUAAAAGGAAAAAGAAAACUUGGUCCUCACACCAGAAAUUGAGCCAAAGCUGGUGUCCCUGUUCAGACUUGCGUUUGCUGUGAGUCAUGAGAAACGAGGAUAUUUAUUUCCCGAGGAAGGAGGAGAAUCUGAGUCAAUUUUGAAUCCCUCCUGGUGACCCAACACCACACUGCCUGAGGCAAUCUGUUGCUCAAUAAAUAUUUGCUGGUCCAAUAUCCAAUCAGCCAGAGAUCUCUAUCUACAAAGAAAGUUUGCCUCUGCCAAUCGUCAGAGUGCCUGUGUUUGCGGCAGGCACUGCCCUGUAUUUCGGAACCUCUGCCGGUAAGGAACCCUAUCAAAGGGCAGGGGACUCGCUGUGUUUAUACAACACUCUUUUUCCCGGGUUCAGCAUUCAGGUAAAAUAAGACUGUUGUAAACCACACCGAGCACCUGCUCCUUCUCCUCCCAGGCUCCUCGAUCGUCCCUCUUCGUUGUUUGCCCUGCUCACAUCUGGACAGCGUCACUGGGCUCUAGCACAAGAGAAGAAUUCCACUUUUGGCAUCAGGAUCAGCUGCCGUACUGGAGCAGUCAAGGUAGGACAGCCGCCGGGCGCAGAAGGAUGAAAGGUUGUGCCUCUGAAGACGGGCGUCUGGGGUGAGCUUAGAACAGUAGGAAAAGCCCCACCAGAAGAAAGGGACUCCCGAGUUAAUGAUUACAGUGAAGCAGAAGGAAGGACAAAAGCAAGAGCACGCGGGAAAAACAGGAGGACUUUGGUGAAAUUGAAAAUGAAGUGGAGAGAGCUCCGAGCUGCUCUCCUGCCCCCCCCCCCCGUGAAAAAACGAUAGUUGGGAACAGCUGACCACUGGUAAGAGACGGCAAAGGAAGAAAAUUCUGAAAUCACUCUGGGAGCCUUUGACGGUAAAAAGAGAUUUGGAAAUGCAAAUGGAAGAAAACCAAAAAUCGAGGCAGUGUUGAGGCGGGGCAGCUUGACCAUGUUGAUAGCAGACUACAGAGUCACCGGGAAUCUGGAGAAGCUGGACUGGAACCCUGGGAUUAGCUGGCUGGGUGGAGCCUGGAGCUGCCGGGAGCUCUUAUGUGGCUUUCAGAUGGUGGGGAGUUCGGGAAGAUAUGCAAAUGCUGUGGUUAAGGAACAGCCCGGCUGCCCUGCACCGUUGCUGAGCGCUCAGGCAGCGCUCAAAGAUAAGAGACGGAUGCUCACAAUUUGGAAAUACGAGCUUGAGUGAGGCGUUGAGAAGGCAAGUCUCCGGUGCAUGUACACAUUCCCAGAGAAAUUCAGGCCCCAGAGACGAACAUCAUUGGCGACAUUGCUCACAAGUGCAGUCUGCACCGAGAGACAAGCCGAGAACAUUGCCGUUCCGCUCAGGAUUGACCAAGAAGCCAUGAAAUCCCCAACCGAAGGAAACUUGGACGAUUGCCUACUGAAUAAGGUGGACUUGAGGCGCCAGUGGAUCUCCCAGAUGGUGGAAGAAGUGCAGAAAGUGGUCCAUCAUCUGACCACAGAAAUCAGCCACCAAGACAUCCGGUUCCAAGCCAUCCCUUGCUCUGACACAUACAAUGAGAACAUUAAGGUGCUGGCCCCCACCCACUUCCUCGUCACAGUCCCACUGAGAGGCCUGGCUGGGUACCGGGAGGCCCGGCAGAAGCGCUGGCGCUACUACACCCUGCAGGGCGGCCGGCUGCCCUGCCCGCUGCGGGACCCAGAGGCCCUGCAGCAGUGGCUGGAGGUGGAGCAGUUCCUGAAGAACCUGUGGCAGUGGCACGAGGCCGAUGUGAACAUCGAGGGGGACAUUGUGCCCGCCAGGGUCCUCCAGGUCUUCCGGAAACUGGUGGAAAACGCAAUUGAAACCUGUCACCUGCCAGGUAAUGAGGUCAGCAUGCUGAUGGACCGCCCUGGCGUUUGGGUUGCCGUGGAAACCUUCGCGGGUCCGGUGGAGCUAGAGCUGAUUCCCUCCGUGGAGAUCCCCACCUCCUGGUCCAAGAAAGCACGGUGGCCUCCUUGUCUGAGGCGCUGGCCUUCAGCAGAGAGAGUACAGUGCAUCAAGUCCUUUGGGUUUAGCCUGUUGGCCUGUUCAAACUAUCACUGGCAGCUGAGCUUCUUGCGGGCCGAGCAGGUGCUGCUGGAGCAGCUGGAUGAGGACGGGGGCUGCCGCAGGAAGUGCUUUCAAGCCCUGAGGCAGAUGAAGGAGGAUGUCUGGUGCCCGGGGAAGAGGCCUGUGAUCACCUCCCACCACCUGCAGUGAGCUCCCAGCAUGGUUUCACGCUGCCCCUGGAAGCAGUGAGAAAGAAGCAUCAAACAGCCAGCCCGUGCUCCUCGGGAAUGUUCACAACUCAACAAGCAAUGACCAGGUACCAAGCAUGCUGCCAGGCACCAGUGAUACCGUGAUGGAUAAGGCAUCGUUGUCGAUCUGUGUGGGAGACAAUCCAUGCGCCUUCCUCGCAGGUGCAAUGGGGUCAUACACAUGUUGCUAGGGAAGCACAAAUGAGGGUCGCUCCGGUCAGCCUUGGGGACUUAGAGCAUGCAGAUAGGAGAGCUUCUGGGGAAGGGGGGUGCAGUUAAAGUGAAUCUGGAAAGAGAAGAAGCCAGGAGAAAUUGGGUGGAGGGUGGUGAGGCAGGAAAAGAGCCUAGAGAGAGUCAGAAGGGUGCAAAGCUGUGAGUGCCUGCAAGGCAGCGAAUGCCAAAAGCUGAAGCGGGAGGGGCAACUAGAUGCUUGGGCUUUACCCGGGUUCAGAUGCUGGCUCUGUCACUUAGGAGCUGUGCAGCUUUAAGUAAAGUACUUAACUUUUCUGUGCCUCAACUCCCUCACCUGCGACAUGUGGUUAGGAAGAGUCCCUGUCCCAGAGGGUUGCUGAGAGCAUUAGGUGAGACAGUACAUACAAAGCAGGCAGCAGGGUGCCAGCCCAUGACGAACCCUUGCAAAUGGUGCCAAUCAUUGUUGCUGCCAGGGUCAUGGCUCUUAUGCCCUCAGGGAGAGGAAGGCAUGGAGAAGCUGUGAGCACCUCCUAUGCACCUGCCUCCACAUGCAGCACCAGGAAUACAAUGCUUUUAUGUGUCUUGUGACGCCUGUAUGAGACCUCGACCUUGCAGAAAUCCAAGCAAAAAGGGUUGUGACUGUGGCGUUCCCUGGUGCCAGUUGCAGUGUUCAGGGAAUGCUAACGGUCUAUCCAUCCUUUGCUGAAGGUGCCUAGGAUGGGCUACAGGCACGAGAUACAUCCAAGAUACACAGAUGGGCUACAGGCACGAGGGUGUACAUCCGAGAGCCCAGGAAGGUAGGAAAGUCAAAAGAAGGGCAGGAGAGUGCUUCCCUCUUUCUCCUAAAAGGAAAAUACCAAGUAUGCUUGAUGGGGGGGAGUCACGGCUCUUUGUCCUCCCAGACCCGCAUGUCAUCCUGGGCAGCUUUUCUUUGCCCCUAUAGUCAGCAACUCUCCGAAGUUUCUUUGGCCUCAUGGACUUUUUCUGUGGGUCUCUGCUUCUUCACACAAAGCAGAAAACCUCUCUCCCUGCAUGUCACUGAACCCAGAGCUUGGAUAAGAGAGGGGAGGCCCUCACCCCUGAGUUGUGCCCACCUGGCUUUCUGCAUCCAGAAGUGGAGUCCACAGUGCCACCCGGGCUUGUGCUGGACAGAGGGGACUCACGUCCGCCCUGCCUUGUGGAGCAUCCCUCUAGCUGCUCUGUGCAGGGGACCUUCUCCAACGUAAACAGAGGCUGCAGAAGAGGCAGGGAGGAAGUGCCAGUCUGCUCGCAGGCCCACAACCCCACCUCCUGCUGACAACGGAGUGAGCUGAGAGGGCGCCUCUCCUGGGCUGCCUUUCCAAGGCUUCUAAGCUGCUUGGUGACCUCCAUGGUCAGCAGCUUCCAGGUGCGGCUCAGCUACGUGGCAUGGGAUCUGCUGCGGGAGUUCUGAGGAUGCGGCGCUGAGGGUGGUGGUGCUGUGGGUGGAGGGUCCCCAGAAUGCCCUUGGCCCACGUUCUCCUGUCCCCACUGCGGGAGCCACCAAGGCUGGCAGCUGGGAGCCUCAGGGCCACCCUAGCACAGCUCCCCUCCGAGCAGGUUGGGCUCUGACUGUGCAAUCCUUCUGGCCCCUUUGAGAAGAAGGCAUUAUCUUUGAUAUUAUCAUACAAUAACAAGACAAUGUCCCUGUCCUCUGUGGCUUUCUGACCGAGCACUCUGCACUCUGGGAAGAAACAUGCUCUUUAUUUUCCCUCCGAAACAUCGAAGCUGACAGCACGGAGACGGGGCUGUGGUCAUUUUCAGACCAUUAACCUCUCCCCUCCCCGCCCUCCUCUCCUCAUCAGCCACCCUGUCACCUGCCCCUGGGCUUCUGGCCCUCCCACCCAUCUACCCACCUCUUUAGAGCCCUGGAAAUAUACAGCGCUACGAACUUUGCUCAGAUAUAUCCAUUUAGGAGUUCCCACUGUGGCUCAGUGGUAAUGAACCCCACUAUAGGGUAGGCCAGCAGCUACAGCUCCCAUUCAGCCCUUAGCCUGGGAACUUCCAUUAGCUGUGGGUGCAGCCCUAAAAAGACAAAAACACCCCAAAAAGUAUCCAUGUACUUCUUACAAUAGCCCUAAGAGAUAGGUAUUGUUCUCAUUUCACAGGUGAGAAAACUGAGGCCCAGAGAGGUUAAGGAACUUGCCUGGGGACACACAGUCUGUGAUAGAGGACAGAUUUGAGCCCAGGCUGUCUGACUCCAUUGUUGGUGCUUUUAGCCCUGCGCUAUUCAGCCUCCGGUUCUGGUGCUCUUUCUGUGCGGAUCUUCAUAGAGAAUAAGCCACCACGUGAUACGUGGCAUCCAGGCCAGUGGACACUCUGAAGCCGAGAAGCAUGUGGAUCAGCGCCGACCACCAUCCAUGUGAGAAGAGGAGCCCCCGGGGAGGCUUGAGCCCAUCCAGGUGGACAAAGCUCUCCUUUCUCCCAGGGAUGUUUCCUGGUUGUUGCCAGAGCUUCUCAGGUAACCCCAGUUUGAGUGUCUGAAAUCCCUGUGGGAAGCCCAGCACCUCCAGAGCAAUACCUGGGAUUCUCAGAGCGUCCUAGAACCAGCCUUGGUUUGAGCAGCCGAGCUUUCAGACAUCCAGUUACUGGACACCCGGCCUCUGGGGCCAGCGGUGGGCCACCGGACCUCUCCCCAGGAACACCUAGUGGACACAUCUUGGAGCCUGUCAUGGGGUACCUGUGGGCCUGGAUCUGUCUGUAGAAACGGACAAAAUUAUAUCUCACAAGGGUGCGCUUUACUGGUUGUCCCUUUAUGUUUUUAUUUUGCCCGUGUGUGUGUGUGUGUGUGUGUGUGUGUGUGUCUUAUGCAAAUGUGGGUAUGCACCAACAUGAGCAUAAAGUGUGUCAAGGUCUGUGUGUGGAAGAAGACAGCUGUGCUUCCAUGUGAGUGUGGUGAGGUCUCAACAUGCCCCUAGUGGCUUAUAGCAGCCUUGGCAUCCUUCCUGUGCUGCUCCAGGGGCCUCUGCAAGGCUCCAGGGUGAUACAGACCUUGCUUGGAGGAGGGAGGCGGCUUGAUUCUUUGUUGGCUUGAUGCUGUUCCCAUAGGAACAGCCCCUCCAACCUUCCCCCUACACCCCCCGCUUUCUGCUCCCCUGUCCUGCUCUGUCCAUCCAUGGCAGUGCCUCUCCUGUUCUUAUCAGAAGGGAGCUGGCAGACAUUUGGUUCACAGGUAGCUUUUGAGUCAAAGAAAGGUCAGGGCCCAAGAGUCCCCUGAGCCGUGGCAGGACCGUGUCCCACUCUCUAUCCCCUUCUGAUCAGAGCCCCUGCCCCUACCCAGGAGGGGCUCUCCCCUCUCUAGUCAUUCUGCCUCUGAUUGGUCCCAGUGGGGAGCAGCAUCACCCUCUGAGAUGCCUCCAGGCUCCUCUCUAGGUGUCUGGAGACUGUACUCCUAGCCUCCACACUGCCCUCAAAGCUGGGAGACCUGGGGACCAGGGGGGCAGCGGGGGAGCUGUUACAACCUGUGACUAUUUGGAUUCUGAUGGAGAGAGAGUCAGAUCCUAGGCUGUUGAUGGGCUGCUAGGAAAGAAGUACCAGUUCAAGAGGUGGAUGUAGGAGAUGGAUUCUGCAGCCUGGCAGGGAGAGGCAGCUCUUGGCACCGGCUGCCAGAGGGCUGAUGCAAAGUCACUCCCACUGCAGCAGUUCUGCGCUGCCUCGAGCUCCCUCCCCCUCAGCCCCUGGCUUCCCUCCCCCUCUUCAGCAGCCUGUGCCCAGGGUGUGACCUCUGUCCACGUGCUCUUUGGCUUAGACAGGGUGCCCACAGGUGGGGGCUCUCUUAGGAUGAGGGAAAUAAUCAGAAAGCUCCAUGACAUCAGACAAAUUGCUUAAGCCCUCUAUGGCUGUCUUCUAAUCUGUAAAAUGGGGGUGGCAACAGUGUUAGGUGAGAAUUAAGUGAGUGACUAUGGAAAGCGGGGGCAUGAGGGGGGUGGGAUGGGAGUGGGUAGGGAAGACCUCUCUUUUGAGGUGUCUAGGCUUGGAAGAAGGGAGGGGCGAUGCCCUGCACCCCUGGAAAGGAUUCCCAUGGUCAGUCCUGGCAUUAUUGGAUGCAUGCAGGAUGCCUGGUGGACCCAGCCCAGGGCUGCCUCCCUGUCAAGGCAGGUAAGGGCCGCAAGCGUAGCCAAAAACCUAUUCUCCCAGGACAGGACUUGCUUCUCCCUGCUUUUCUCUCAUCUCUGAAAUCUUUUCUUCAAGGUCAGUAAAGCUGAGAGCCCCUCCAGAAUUCAUCUCUGGUGAGAAGGGCAGCAGACCUGAGCUCUAAAAAUAAACUUUAAGAUGUUAAGUACAUUUUCCACAACAAUUCAGAUCACGAUUCUUUUUUCUUUCCUGGAGACUGUGACCUAGAGUAGAAACCAUUCCGGCAGAGGAGGAAGUGUCAGAGGCUUUGCACGUGGGACCGCAUUUGGAUAGAGCGCCACUCUGCUCUGGGGCCCAGCCUUGCUAGAAGGACCUGCAGUCUUAGUGUUGAGAGGCUCCCUUCCUGUCCCACCCUAGCGGUGGGCCCGGUGCUCCCACCUGCCGCCUCUUCCCCAUCUGAGCCCAGAGAACCCCUUGAGCUCUGUGGCAGCGCCUCUGUACCCAGAAGCCAGCAGGGCGAGGGGCAGGUGUCUUUGCUUUGUUACAUUUCACUCUCCCCCCCGCCCCCAGCAUGGUGCUCUCAGAGGUGGUGUCUGGGGACCACAGAGGCUGACUAGUUUACUGGAGCUGGGGCCACCUAGACAGGGCACACAGGACAAUGCGGGGGCUGUGAAAUGCCCGAGAAAAGGAUCCGGUUCUGGAUCUCUCAGCAGCACCGCAAGCCGAGUGGGACAAGCCGGCCAGGGCCCGCUGCCGUGAGGAUGGCUUUCCAACUCCCUCUCAUUGCAAAGCGAGAAAAGGUUUUAAAAGCAGAAUUAAAGUGUAAAGAAGAGGGAAAUGGCUCUGAUGCAGCAUUUACAUAAGAAACACAUUCAGAAAAAGAGGCUGUGAUUCUGAAAGUGUCCUUAUUCUACUGCACUAGAAAUCUCCUUUGGGGUGGGGGAGGUUUAAAUUAGCCGGGCGAGGAGGAAAUAAAAACCCCCUUUGCAAAUCACA